rnacentral:rRNA from 1 species
GGCCUUGACAUCUAAGAAUUUCCAGNGAUGGAUUGGUGCCUUCGGGAACUUAGAUACAGGUGCUGCAUGGCUGUCGUCAGCUCGUGUCGUGAGAUGUUGGGUUAAGUCCGCAACGAGCGUAACCCUUUUCCUUAUUUGCCAGCGGGUCAUGCCGGGAACUUUAAGGAUACUGCCAGUGACAAACUGGAGGAAGGCGGGGACGACGUCAAGUCAUCAUGGCCCUUACGGCCAGGGCUACACACGUGCUACAAUGGUCGGUACAAAGGGUUGCUACCUCGCGAGAGGAUGCUAAUCUCAAAAAGCCGAUCGUAGUCCGGAUCGCAGUCUGCAACUCGACUGCGUGAAGUCGGAAUCGCUAGUAAUCGCGGAUCAGAAUGCCGCGGUCGAAUACGUUCCCGGGCCUUGUACACACCGCCCGUCACACCAUGGGAGUUUGUUGCACCAGAAGUAGGUAGUCUAACCGCAAGGAGGACGCUUACCACGGUGUGGCCGAUGACUGGGGUGAAGUCGUAACAAGGUAAGCGUAGAUGA